rnacentral:tRNA from 1 species
GGAGGGGUUAGCUCAAGUGGUAGAGUGCAUGCUUAGCAUGCAUGAGGUCCUGGGUUCAAUCCUCAGUACCUCCU